GCUACACCGAACACACCCUGCUGCAUACCCUCAGAGCAACAGACUCAUUUCACUUGUUAAGAAAGAAGAUUUCUCAGCAGUCCUCCAGUCACCCUGUGGAUCCCCUUUUUCUACUCUGGUAAUUCAGGGAUUGAAAAUUAGAGGUAUUUUAACUACUACAUGGAGAUAAUCUCAUCAGCAAGAACUGCAAAGCUUGUCAAGAUUGAUGGGAAGAUAAAUGGAGCAAAGUACUGGCAAUUCUAAGAAGAAAACCACCUUCAGACAUAAAAUCUGACAAAAGCUCACCUACCAGCAGGACAGUGACCCAAAGCACAAGGCCCAAAUGAAACCAGAGUGGUUUAGGAAUACGAAACUGAAUGUCCAUGAGUGGCCCAGUCAACGUCUGACUUGAAUCUCGAUAGGAUUCUCUGGAAAGAAUUGAAAACUGCUGCACAUAAGGGAUAACCAAGUAACCUGGAAAAAUGUGAGCAAUUCAGCCAAGAAGAAUGGGCAAAAACUGGAACUUUUCCAAAAAGACUUGCGGCUGUAAUUGCUUCCAAAUGUGCUUCCACCAAAUAUUGAGUUCAUGGGUCUAAACACUUACAGUAUACAAUAACCA